GACGAACCGAGCGAACGUUAUUCGGAAUCACUGGGCUUAAAGGGCGCGUAGGCGGGCCGGCGAGUCCGGGGUGAAAGCCCCCAGCCCAACUGGGGAAGUGCCUCGGAUACUGCCGGCCUCGAGGGAGGUAGGGCGUGCGGAACUUCCGGUGGAGCGGUGAAAUGCGUAGAUAUCGGAAGGAACACCGGUGGCGAAAGCGGCGCGCUGGACCUCUUCUGACGCUGAGGCGCGAAAGCCAGGGAGCGAACGGG
rnacentral:rRNA from 1 species